GAAAUAUUUAAUUAAUGAACUUCUAAUUCAAUAAAAAAUAAUUUUAAUUUUAUUUAUAUUUCU
rnacentral:tRNA from 1 species